rnacentral:rRNA from 1 species
GUGUCAGCAGCCGCGGUAAUACGGAGAGUGCAAACGUUGUUCGGAUUCACUGGGCGUAAAGGGCACGUAGGCGGCUCGGCAAAUCGGUCGUGGAAUCCAGACGCUUACCGUCUGAACGGCGGCCGAAAAUACCGGGCUCGAGGGCGUGAGGGGUCACUGGAACUCCUGGUGAAGCGGUGAAAUGCGUAGAUAUCAGGAGGAACGCCGGAGGCGAAAGCGAGUGACUGGCGCGUUCCUGACGCUGAGGUGCGAAAGCUAGGGGAGCAAACAGGAUUAGAAACCCCUGUAGUCC